CCCUAAGGAACAUGAGCAUGAAGG
rnacentral:piRNA from 1 species